rnacentral:rRNA from 1 species
CCUACGGGAGGCAGCAGUGAGGAAUAUUGGACAAUGGGCGCAAGCCUGAUCCAGCCAUGCCGCGUGCAGGAAGAAGCAUCUAUGGUGUGUAAACUGCUUUUGUACAGGAAGAAACACUCCCUCGUGAGGGAGCUUGACGGUACUGUAAGAAUAAGGACCGGCUAACUCCGUGCCAGCAGCCGCGGUAAUACGGAGGGUCCGAGCGUUAUCCGGAAUCAUUGGGUUUAAAGGGUCCGUAGGCGGUUUAANAAGUCAGUGGUGAAAUCUGGUCGCUCAACGAUCAAACGGCCAUUGAUACUGUUAGACUUGAAUUAUAAGGAAGUAACUAGAAUAUGUAGUGUAGCGGUGAAAUGCUUAGAUAUUACAUGGAAUACCAAUUGNGAGCAGUACUACUAUG